rnacentral:lncRNA from 1 species
AGAAGGCUGCAAGGAGUCCUGUGGGAGGCCCUGGGGUCUUAUUAGUCGAAGGAAACAAAUCAUCAUACCUUUAAUACUGGCUCCAAUUGGCUCCUUUCAUGAGUAGUCUUGGAGAGAUAAUUGCUAAUCUGGAAUGGACAUACUUCUUGAUCUUGGUUGGCAUUUUUCAAACUGUGAUGAAGACACUUUUUAUAGCCCUGUUCAGAAUACAGAAGGAGACCUACUCUUCUCUGAUCACAAUCUAAAUGCUACAGACAGAGGACGUGUGGAAAGAUCUGUCAUGGAUUAAAUAUAAACAAAAAUGAAGCAAGAAACAAAACUAGUCUUUCAAUGAAAAGCUGAAGAUACUGAAGAAGAAAUGCAAAAUCAUUUCACAAGAAAAACAAAAUCAGACCAGGAUCACUUGGCGUACCAUCCUAGCAAAAUAUAUCUUCUUGGAGUUGCCCUGA